rnacentral:lncRNA from 1 species
GUUUUGAUUUUAGCUUCCCUAGUAUGUCCUUGCCUAACCUUUCCCUGUCUAUGCAUGUAGGAAAGUUCAGUUGAGGAAGACACUGAAACAAGUUUAGCUCUUUGGAGCUAAUAGCUCACGGCAUGCUGUUUCUGGGCAGCAGUCCCCAUUAUCAGAACUCAGGACAAUAGCAUCAACAGUGGUCAUCCUCAUCUUACCUAUCUGCUGCCUGUUUUCUAUCCUUGUUUCUGAAUAGUCCCCUGCUGGAACAAGUUGCCCUCACCUGCCCCUUUUCCCCUCGUGGUGCAUCUGUGAUCAAAAGGUUCUGACUGAAGGAUGAAAAAUGUGCCAGGUGGAAUCUUUUCUUUUUUAAACUGGCUUACCCCUUUUCCCGCCCUUUUUCAUUUUUGUAGGGAAAAAACCUAUAGAGGAUCCAGCAAACGAUACAGUGGAUUUCCCUAAAAGAACGAGUCCAGCUCGAGGCUAUGAGCUCUUAUUUCAGCCAGAGGUGGUUCGGAUAUACAUCUCACUUCUUAAGGAGAGCAAGACUCCUGCCAUCCUAGAAGCCUCAGCUGGAGCUAUCCAGAACUUGUGUGCUGGGCGCUGGACGGUACCUUUUAGAAAAGGGAUUUGGAGAUGGGAAAACUUAGAUAACUAGUUUGCUGCCAUUUGUAAUUUGUUCCACCCCUUUCUAUUUGCUAUUCUAGUAUGGUCGAUACAUCCGCUCUGCUCUGCGUCAAGAGAAGGCUCUUUCUGCCAUAGCUGACCUCCUGACUAAUGAACAUGAACGGGUGGUGAAAGCUGCAUCUGGAGCACUGAGAAACCUGGCUGUGGAUGCUCGCAACAAAGAAUU